rnacentral:rRNA from 1 species
UGCGACACAUUAGUUAGUUGGCAGGGUAAAGGCCUACCAAGACUAUGAUGUGUAGCUGGACUGAGAGGUUGAACAGCCACAUUGGGACUGAGACACGGCCCAAACUCCUACGGGAGGCAGCAGUAGGGAAUUUUCGGCAAUGGAGGAAACUCUGACCGAGCAACGCCGCGUGAACGAUGAAGUAUUUCGGUAUGUAAAGUUCUUUUAUUAAGGAAGAAAAAAGAGUGGAAAAACUCCCUUGACGGUACUUAAUGAAUAAGCCCCGGCUAAUUAUGUGCCAGCAGCCGCGGUAAUACAUAAGGGGCGAGCGUUAUCCGGAAUUAUUGGGCGUAAAGGGUGCGUAGGCGGUUUAAUAAGUCUAUAGUUUAAUUUCAGUGCUUAACGCUGUUAUGCUAUAGAAACUGUUUUACUAGAGUGAGAUAGAGGCAAGCGGAAUUCCAUGUGUAGCGGUAAAAUGCGUAAAUAUAUGGAGGAACACCAGAGGCGUAGGCGGCUUGCUGGGUCUUUACUGACGCUGAGGCACGAAAGCGUGGGGAGCAAACAGGAUUAGAUACCCUGGUAGUCCACGCCGUAAACGAUGAGCACUAAGUGUCGGGUAAAACCGGUACUGAAGUUAACACAUUAAGUACUCCGCCUGAGUAGUACGUACGCAAGUAUGAAACUUAAAGGAAUUGACGGGACUCCGCACAAGCGGUGGAUCAUGUUGUUUAAUUCGAAGAUACACGAAAAACCUUACCAGGUCUUGACAUUUUCUUGCGAAGUUAUAGAAAUAUAAUGGAGGUUAUCAGGAAAACAGGUGGUGCAUGGUUGUCGUCAGCUCGUGUCGUGAGAUGUUAGGUUAAGUCCUAAAACGAGCGCAACCCUUGUCGUUAAUUGCCAGCAUGUAAUGAUGGGGACUUUAACGAGACUGCCAAUGAAAAAUUGGAGGAAGGUGGGGAUUACGUCAAAUCAUCAUGCCCCUUAUGAUCUGGGCUACAAACGUGAUACAAUGGUUGAUACAAAGAGUAGCUGAAACGCGAGUUCUUAG